CCUACGGGUGGCAGCAGUGGGGAAUAUUGGACAAUGGGGGGAACCCUGAUCCAGCCAUGCCGCGUGUGUGAAUAAGGCCCUCGGGUUGUAAAGCACUUUCAGUGAGGAAGAACGCCUGGUGGUUAAUACCCAUCAGGAAAGACAUCACUCACAGAAGAAGCACCGGCUAACUCCGUGCCAGCAGCCGCGGUAAUACGGAGGGUGCGAGCGUUAAUCGGAAUUACUGGGCGUAAAGCGCGCGUAGGUGGCUUGAUAAGCCGGUUGUGAAAGCCCCGGGCUCAACCUGGGAACGGCAUCCGGAACUGUCAAGCUAGAGUGCAGGAGAGGAAGGUAGAAUUCCCGGUGUAGCGGUGAAAUGCGUAGAGAUCGGGAGGAAUACCAGUGGCGAAGGCGGCCUUCUGGACUGACACUGACACUGAGGUGCGAAAGCGUGGGUAGCAAACAGGAUUAGAUACCCUUGUAGUC
rnacentral:rRNA from 1 species